GAAUUCGCCCUUAGAGUUUGAUUCUGGCUCAGGACGAACGCUGGCGGCGCGCCUAACACAUGCAAGUCGAACGGAGUUGUGUUGAAAGCUUGCUGGAUAUACAACUUAGUGGCGGACGGGUGAGUAACACGUGAGUAACCUGCCUCUGAGUGGAAUAACGUUUGGAAACGAACGCUAAUACCGCAUAACGUGAGAAGAGGGCAUCCUCUUUUUACCAAAGAUUUAUCGCUGAGAGAUGGGCUCGCGGCCGAUUAGGUAGUUGGUGAGAUAACAGCCCACCAAGCCGACGAUCGGUAGCCGGACUGAGAGGUUGAUCGGCCACAUUGGGACUGAGACACGGCCCAGACUCCUACGGGAGGCAGCAGUGGGGGAUAUUGCACAAUGGGGGAAACCCUGAUGCAGCGACGCCGCGUGAGGGAAGACGGUUUUCGGAUUGUAAACCUCUGUCUUUAGGGACGAAAAAAUGACGGUACCUAGGGAGGAAGCCACGGCUAACUACGUGCCAGCAGCCGCGGUAAUACGUAGGUGGCAAGCGUUGUCCGGAAUUACUGGGUGUAAAGGGAGCGUAGGCGGGGAGACAAGUUGAAUGUCUAAACUAUCGGCUUAACUGAUAGUCGCGUUCAAAACUAUCACUCUUGAGUGCAGUAGAGGUAGGCGGAAUUCCUAGUGUAGCGGUGAAAUGCGUAGAUAUUAGGAGGAACACCAGUGGCGAAGGCGGCCUACUGGGCUGCAACUGACGCUGAGGCUCGAAAGCGUGGGUAGCAAACAGGAUUAGAUACCCUGGUAGUCCACGCCGUAAACGAU
rnacentral:rRNA from 1 species